AAAAUUGGCACCACUUUAAAAUGAUCUCCACACAGGCUGCUGAGCAUAUUUUCAAUGCAAACCCUUGUGCCACGAAAUGCAGCACUUUCAACUCAUCGACACAAGCUCCGAGCUGCAGUAUUUUCUGUCAAAAAAAAAAAAAAUCAGGACAUCAGCACAUUUGUUUGUACUUGGAAAUCAACACCAUUUUUGAAUCUUCCCAGAGAAAUCGCCCUGCAAAGCAAUUUCCCACCCUGGAUUCAGCACUCCGCUUCUGCACCGUUCCCAAUCCCCGCUAAUCCUGGGCACAAAAAGUCCCUGUGGCCGACAGUGCUGCUGCGGGGCACACGUGGUGCUGCAGUCACAGGGAUGGCCCUGUUAUGGAGCUUUUCACCUUGAUAUGUUGCCUUGCAUCAAACAGAUAAUGUACAGGCCUCAAAAUACUCAUCCAAGGUCCUGCUGCCAUAUGCAGACCGUUCUGCAGCAAACAAGGGAUCUGUGGGCUGAACCCACGUAGCAUCUCAGCAGUGCACCUCCACAAUUGGAAGCUCAUCCCCAAAGCAGUACUGCUAAUUGCUUAAUGUUCUUCAACAGGUGGAAACUGCAAGUAGAUCAGCUUUUUGUUUGAUGGCAUUUACAGAAAGAUUCCCUGUACAUGCUCGCAGCCGGCACUACCAUUCCUGACAGAUUAAUGGUGUGCGUUGCAGCGGCUCCUACAGACACCACUCAUAAGUCAGGUCCCUGCUGCAAGAAUAUCAGUGGCUCUGGAAAAAUGUGCUCUGCUGAGGACAGGGCAGGACACCAGAGAGAGCUGCUCGCUCUUUCCGGUCGAUUGGACAUCCAGCCCACUUGCACUACAACUGGCCUGGUCACAUGCAGUGUGCCGAAGCUGAAUGUGGCUGCUCUCAGCUCAUGAUGUGUGGUCCGAGUCUGAUCUGCUGCCUGAUCCCUGAGAGAGUACAUGAGGGUGGUCGAAGGCAUCUCAUCAUAAGCACGGAGCUGUGAUGAUCAUUUAUGCUUUGGAAGACAUGCUAUAUAGCUACCCAGAGCCCUGGCAGUGCAGCUGGUGUGGCUCAGCGUGAAAGAUCAGCACAGGAAUGAGGAUGAGAGCACAGAGCACAGCCCCACGCACUCUCACCACAAGCUAUCACUGUGUUAUGGCUGUGGCUGAAAAUAGCUGCCCUACAAUGAGUGUGAGGGGAGCAGAGCUCACGGUGAGCAGAGCCACCAGCCUGGCUCAGGGCUUCCCUUCUGGCAGAGUCUGGGUCUGAAAGGGGGAACUUUCCAUUCUGAAACUUCCACUGCGAUGCUCAUGCACUUCCCUAAAGUGGAGGUUUGCACAACCUGAAACAAACCUCUUGGCCUCACUGAUCGUCCUGUGGGAAAAUAAGACAGAUAGAGAACAAACUUCACUUCCUUUUUCCCCCAAUUCUCUCCGUGUUUACAAAAAAUUACUUCCUUUUUCCCCAAAUUCCCUUUCUUCUACUGGGUUUCACAAAAACAGAAUCCCAAAUACUGUAUGCCCUUAGAAAUACUUUUUCUGAGCGGAACUUGAAUCUCUCUUCAUGCUCAUUUCCAGUGGCAGUACUCCAUGAUGAAUGAACUAUCUUUACAGUUUAAGCAGAGCAGGUCAGACCCCACUCCACCAGCGGUGUCUGCAGCUGUUUUCACAGCACCAGCCCGCAUCCUGUCCGUGUUUACGCAAACACUCUUAUCCCAUUUAUUAUUGCCAAACUCCUGCCCAUCAUCCGCUUCAGAGAAAUAUCAGCACAUGACCUGGCACGCAUCCCUCAGAGAUAACCCUGCUGGUUAUCGCGCUCCCCACCUGCCUGCCCCCUCCCCUCCUUGCUGCCUUUGCACUCUUAUCCUCCGCAGGAUCUCCCUUCCAGCAUUUCCUUCCCCGUUUGCCGUGGCAGGGAAGGAUUCAGCUUUCACUGCUCAUUUUGUGUUAAGUCAGAGGUAUUUCUGUAAAUACGGAGGCUGCACAUGCUCUGUUUCGAACUCAUGUCUAUGGGAAGCUGUGACUGAGUUUGUAAAAAAUACGUGGAAAAAAAAAGAGACAGAAGUUUUCAAGACUCCUUCAACGCUGCUCAGAAUGAAUCAUCCAUACCUAAAAAUUAUGAAAACCUCAGAAAUGGCACGUUAACAUACCUAGGAAGAACAAGUGCCUGGCAAUGAUAUAAAAGCUGUCUGUAGCAGGAUGUGGAAUAUAAUUACAGGCUCAGUUUUCUGAGAGAUGAAAGAGGCAAUUCUUCAGAAACUUGGUUCUGUCUGCUCCUCAAAGACCCCGAAUAAAG
ensembl:lncRNA